CCCGUCCCCCGUCCCCCGUCCCCCCACCCCCUUACCAAUGUAGAUGUGAAAUUCUCUAUACAUUCAUGGGAAAGGUGGGUAUUUUGUCUCACAAGCAGGUACAUUCUCCCUUCACUCCUUCCACUUACUGUAAAUGGUCUUGGAAAGAAUCCUAGUUCCAUCUUGAAUAGAAAACAAAGAGAUUACACAGCCACAAAAUUAAACGUCUGUUUGGUUUAGCUGGUGAGAUCUUCAUGGCUCUGCAACGAUUAGGUUCCUGAAUGUGCCUCUGUCCAGUGUGUGUUGUCACAGAUGGUAAAUGGAAAUCAGGUAUUGGAGUUAUCUCUAUAUUCAAAACAAUGGGACUUUCAGUUCUAGCAACCCUUGUGUGUGUGUGUGUCUGUGUGUGUGUGUGUGUCUGUGUGUUGAGUGGGAACUAAUCCACUAUCUGCACAGUCAUAGAAGCCUGGCUGUGCUUCUCAUGGUCACACAGUGAAAGUAUUGUUGCCGCUGCCAGUCACAGGCCACCCUGGAGAGUCCCUCGUUCGGCACUCUGAUGACUUUCCAAGACCAUAUGGCUGGUUUGAAUAUCAUUCACGCCCACAGCUCAGGGAGGAUGUACUUGCGCGGAGGAAUAAUACCCACACGUAUGGUAUUUCACUAAAUUACAAACAGGUUCUGAACAACACUGGAAAUACUCACAGCUUUCCCAUUCCGAAAAACAAAAAUAAUCAAUCUGUUGCCCCCCUCCCACCCAAAAGUACCCCCCCCCAACCUCCCCCCCAAAACAUGAUCUAAAUUAUGUCCAUCUCAGGAAGGACAUGUCUUAUUAUCUACUAGUGUCCCCUUAUGCCUGCCCAGAAAAGACAAACUAUAAACUCUGUCACAUGGGAUCCAUUUAGUAGUCUUUGUAGGCUGUCUGGUGAAAUGGUGAUUGAUGUGUGGUGUCCUAUGCCCUGCUAGGUGUCAUCGACCCGCAGACAGAAUAUAUGCACAGUGGUUUAUGGUCACUGCAAUGUUGAUGUUCGUAAAAUGUUUCAAGUGAAUCGGUCCAUAGAACAACAGGGCUCAUGUUGGAUGUGAGUGUGAAGGAGUACUAAACUAUUUGUUGGUGUUACCCACUUUACCUGUGAUAUGCACCAAUAGGAGACGGAAUCUCAAUGUUUAGCUGGUUAAGUUCAAUGCUGAGUUACGUGGAAGAGUUGCGACAGUUAGGCGUCCAUUUUGUAACGGGGAACACCAAGUCACAAGGGGUCCUAGCUGUUGAGCUAUCACAUCUGUCGGACCACAGAUUUCAUGUCACCUUACAGUUCGCAACUCUUCUAUGUGUCUCUCACACAGGGUUAUAACAAUGGUGUUUCUGUAUUGUUUGGAGCUUAGAUUAGGCUUUGCAACCAGAGCACUAAUUGGUGGGCGAGGUAAACAGGGAGGGAGAGAGGGAGGCUAGGUUGCUCAAGGUUAUGGAUUGGAAGUAUUUGGGAGGUGAAUGGGAAUACAUGUAUUGUGUUACGAAUGUCACUUCCUGUGUUAAUCGCCUCCACUUCCUGUGUCAAUCCCCUCUCACCUGAUACAGUUGCCAACAUUCCGGAUUCUAUCCCUCCUCCCUCAGCCCCUUAACUACUCAGAUUGGUAAUAAUAUCAAAUCCUAAACUUCGAUAUAAUCUGAUCCCAAAUUUGUUUCAUUACACAACUGAACUUUUGUUCAAAACAUCUUAAGCAACUGAUAAGUGGUUGGUGAGAGGAUGUGUUCCGAAAGACUGUGCUUUUUUAUGUUUUAUAAUUGUGCACAUUUUAGAUUCUGUCAGAUGAUUUUGAUUUGUUUUAUAAUUUGUUUCUUUCAUCCACUCCCUUUUAACUCAAUGAAAAUCACUGUAAUUUAACAUCACACAGAAAUUCACACUCAAAACUAACCCUCUCUCGACAUGUCAUCACUGAUGCCUAUUUUUAGCUGGAUCUGGAUUUAGAAUGACUAUAUUAAAAGCCUCUGUUGUCAUGACGAACUCAGAUAAGACCACCGCUAGCUAGCGUUUAGCUGACAGGAUUAUUACUUGGUGGAGUGUUGAAGAGAGUAUUGGAGUUCUAAACGGAGUGUUGAAGAGAGUAUUGGAGUUAUAAACAGAGUGUUGAGGGGAGUAUUGAAGUACCAAGCAGUUCUCGGGACAGUCAGAGUAUGGAAAGUGAAACAUCCCUCCAAGUAGCCCUCUACUUUCUUCACUUGGAACAGAGACAAAGAGAAGGGGAGGUGUUGAUGGAUGACAUGAAGGAGAAAGACAGGGUGGGGGGGGGGAUAGUCAUGGAGUGGAGAAACAAGAGAUCGUGAGUGUGUAUAUCCACCCGAAUGUGUGAGUGAGGUGUCGUCUGGAAACUGGAGUCAGUGUCACUGUUACCACUUUAAUAAUUAGGGGUCGACCGGAGUGUCUCUCGCAAGGGAUUGUGGGUAGGAGCCAGACUCGAAGCUGUCGAGGACAGGAAAGCCCUGGCGUGGAACAGAGCAGGGGCGAGCGGCGAGCCUGGCGUGGUGAUCAGCCAGCCGUUCUAACCGACUGCUGUCAGAACGUCCACGUGUUCACUUGGAACGACGCUUCAUCGAGGCCGCUGCGUGCAAACGACCCCCCAAAAACGAUUGUGUAACAUUUUGGACGGGGGUCACAUUUGGGGGAUCUUAAGACGCACGUGGCUCUGCUGUUUGUGUCGAGGAUGUCACACCACGGAAGGAUAAUAUCUACCUUUUUUUUCCUCCUAUGCUGCUCC